rnacentral:rRNA from 1 species
GGGUGCGAUCAUACCAGCAAUAAUGCACCGGAUCCCAUCAGAACUCCGAAGUUAAGCUUGCUUGGGCGAGAGCAGUACUAGGAUGGGUGACCUCCUGGGAGUCUCGUGUUGCACCCCU